CGCCUGGGGAGUACGGGUGAGGUAACGGCUCACCAAGGCAUCGACGGGUAGCUGGUCUGAGAGGAUGAUCAGCCACACUGGGACUGAGACACGGCCCAGACUCCUACGGGAGGCAGCAGUAGGGAAUAUUGCACAAUGGGCGAAAGCCUGAUGCAGCAACGCCGCGUGCGGGAAGAAGGCCCUAGGGUUGUAAACCGCUUUCAGCAGGGACGAAAAUGACGGUACCUGCAGAAGAAGCGCCGGCCAACUACGUGCCAGCAGCCGCGGUAAUACGUAGGGCGCAAGCGUUGUCCGGAUUUAUUGGGCGUAAAGGGCUCGUAGGCGGUUUGGUAAGUCGGGUGUGAAAAUUCAGGGCUCGACUCUGAGACGCCACUCGAUACUGCCAUGACUAGAGUCCGGUAGGGGAGUGCGGAAUUCCUGGUGUAGCGGUGAAAUGCGCAGAUAUCAGGAGGAACACCAACAGCGAAGGCAGCACUCUGGGCCGGUACUGACGCUGAGGAGCGAAAGCGUGGGGAGCGAACAGGAUUAGAUACCCUGGUAGUCCACGCCGUAAACGGUGGGUGCUAGCUGUGGGCCACAUUCCACGUGGUCCGUGACGAAGUUAACACAUUAAGCACCCCGCCUGGGGAGUACGG
rnacentral:rRNA from 1 species